AGCCUUAUAUUCAAUAAUGAUAUAAAAUUGCAAAUUUUAAGGAGUAAGGGUAAAAAUUACUAAGGCUU
rnacentral:tRNA from 1 species